UUUUCCAAAAACAUAGCCAAGUUCAAGUCUACUAGGUGAUACCUGCUCAGUGGUCAAUAAUUAAAUUAACUUAAAAGUUAAAAAUUUGACUAAACAGCUGCCUUAAUCCUAGAGGGUACUAAGUAAGCAUAAUCUGAUGCCGUUUGAUUGGCGGAGAGUUGAAUGGAUUAACGAGUGCAUACCUGUCUUAUCAAAAGAAAAAUUUAAUUAGACAUUUAAGUGAAGAGGCUUAAAAUAAUAGAAAGACGAGAAGACCCCGUGAAGCUUUACUAUAAACUAACUUUAUAAUUUUUUUUUCUUUAUUUUUUUUUACUAAAUUAGCCAAUUUUGUUUAUUAUUAGUAGUUAGUUUGGUAGUUUGGGUGGGGCGCCCGCACUUUAAUAAAAACAAGUAGUUGAUAACAUAAUUAUUAAGACUAUAUAAAUUACUUUUUUAUUUAGGGUUAUUUUACUAUCAAAAACCCUUACUAUUUAAAUAAUAGUAGGUCAUAGAAUAAUAGCUACUCCGGGGAUAACAGGGUAA
rnacentral:rRNA from 1 species